AUUUCAUUCGUCAAAUGUUAGUUGUGCCAACCAGAUAGAACCUGAUACUUUAAUUCUUGAAAUUCAGCUAUAACAGAAUUAAUUACAUGACUCCAAGAGGGCAAGGUGGUAUAAACCAACUAGGAGGAGCUUUCGCCAACGGCAAACCCUUGCCCUUCCAUGUACGCCUGAGAAUUUUGGAAUUGGCAUUGUAUGGCUACCGACCAUGCGACAUCUCCCGGCAUUUGUUGGUGUCUCAUGGCUGUGUGUCGAAAAUAUUGACUAGAUUUGCAGAAACAGGUUCUAUACUCCCCGGUGCUAUAGGUGGAAGCAAGCCAAGAGUAUCGACGCCACUGGUUAUCUCAAAGAUUCGACAGUACAAAGACGAGAACGCUUCUUUAUUCGCUUGGGAAAUUCGAGAAAAGUUACUCUACGAAGGCAUAUGCCCACGCGAUUCGUUACCUUCCGUAUCGUCCAUCAACAGAAUUCUGAGAAGAUCUCCAAAAGUGGGGCCCAUCAAGACAGACAUUGCUGUCUCGCCGUCUGGUAUGGAAGACAAGAGAGCAGUAUCGGUGAAAGAAUGUAUAUCUUUAACCUCCAGUGAGAUCCCGUCAUUCAAGAAUGCUUCAGCUGGGAGUGAAAUCCUACCAUCUUUUGAAGACUUAAAAGGAGAAUUGACUUCUCUGAGUGUCUCCCAAGCCCAUGUUUCAGGCACUGAAGUGUCAGAAGAUUCCAGCAAUAAAGAACAUGCUUUGGUAAAGCAUCAAAGUCUUCAAAGGAGAACAUUUUAUAUCAAGGAUAUUUUAGGUUUACGUUUCUCGUAAUGAAAAAACAAAGGUCUUUUUUUUUGUAAGAUUUGCCUGACAGUAAUGCUUGUAGAACUCUUUCAGGUCGUUACUGGUGGAUGUACAGAACGCAUAACAGCAUCAGAUUGGUUAAAAACAGAGACAGUCGCCCAACGUUUAUUAUCUGUAUCAGCGUUUCUCAACCUGCGGUGUGUCCCCCAGCGGUACGGUCUCAAAAUAUAAGUGGAAAAAGGAUGACAUGGUAGACAAGAAUAUUUCAAUAAUUCUUGUAUAAGGAGGCUUCCAUUAUAUAUAUAUACAGGGUAUCCCAAAAAGGUGGAAAAGCAUUUAUUUCUUUUAUUAUUGCAAUUAGACAUAUGCUUCCAGUUGCAAAAUUUUACCAAAUAAGACAUCAAAAUAUAUGAAAAUACUUUGGCAUCGUUAGAGGAAGACUAAUAAAAAGUUUAAAAAAUUUAAUUUUUCUGCAGCUUGCAUAACGAAAAAAGGAUAGCGAGAAAGCCGACCACCCCGCCACCAUUGAAGGAAAGCAGUGUCGACAGGAUUUGUCGUGGCCGACUGCUGUCUUUAUCAUAACCAUCCAAAACACCGACCGAUUCACCGAAAUAAUAUCCUCUUCGAGGUGGUUGGCUCACAAAGUGGUCAAUCUCUGACCUUUCUCCUCGUCUUCCCGUACACCCAUCAUCCUAUAAAACCAGGAGCAGCCACCACUAUAAGAAAAAUCUCAAAAUUCUCGUUCCACAGCUAAAGAAAUCCAAAUACUAAAACUUUCAAAUAGUUGGUAAAAAACAUUUAAUUUUUAACAUUACGUCUAUCAGUGUUUUAUGUUUUUCUGGCAUCAUCAAUAUAAUACUUUUAUUCUAUGAGGGAAGAAUGAAAAUUUAAUUUUUUACUAUCAAAUACACAGGAACCAAAGUGCUUUGAUACAAAUGACCAUCUCAUUUAAU